rnacentral:rRNA from 1 species
AUUGAACGCUGGCGGCGUGCUUAACACAUGCAAGUCGAGCGGAGCGGCGAACGGGUGAGUAACGCGUGAGUAACUGCCCCCCUCUCUGGGAUAACAGUUGGAAACGGCUGCUAAUACCGGAUAGCGGGGGAUGACUCGCGUCCUAUUAGCUUGUUGGUGGGGUAGUGGCCUACCAAGGCGACGACGGGUAGCCGGCCUGAGAGGGCGACCGGCCCCAUUGGGCUGAGAUACGGCCCAAACUCCUACGGGAGGCAGCAGUGGGGAAGAGUGCACAAUAAGGGAAACCCUGAUGCAGCAACGCCGCGGGCGGGAUGACGGCCUUCGAGGUGUAAACCACUUACAACAAAGACGCGGUGGUAGCAGAAGAAGCACCGGCUAACGACGUGCCGGCAGCCGCGGUAAUAC